GAGUGGAGGAUGCAAGCGUUAGUCCGGAAUUGAUUGGGCGUAAAGCGUCCGCAGGUGGAUAGUACAAGUCUGCUGUCGAAAGUGCAGAGCUUAACUCUGUAAAGGCGGUGGAAACUGUAGGUCUUGAGUAUGGGUAGGGGUAGAGGGAAUUCCCGGUGUAGCGGUGAAAUGACGUAGAUAUCGGGAAGAACACCAGUGGCGAAAGCGCUCUACUGGGCCAUAACUGACACUGAGGGACGAAAGGCUAGGGGAGCGAAAGGG
rnacentral:rRNA from 1 species